GUCUUCUUCGGCAUUGUUUCUGGCGCCGGUGGUUAUCAGGCAACCAUCGCGAUCCGCGACGGGC
rnacentral:sRNA from 1 species